UACAGAGGGGGCAAGCGUUAUUCGGAAUUAUUGGGCGUAAAGAGCUCGUAGGCGGUGUGUCGCGUCGGCCGUGAAAACCUGCAGCUUAACUGUGGGCGUGCGGUCGAUACGGGCAUCACUGGAGUUCGGCAGGGGAGACUGGAAUUCCUGGUGUAGCGGUGAAAUGCGCAGAUAUCAGGAAGAACACCCGUGGCGAAGGCGGCUCUCUGGGACGGUACUGACGCUGAGACGCGAAAGCGUGGGGAGCGAACAGG
rnacentral:rRNA from 1 species